rnacentral:rRNA from 1 species
AUCCUGGCUCAGGAUGAACGCUAGCUACAGGCUUAACACAUGCAAGUCGAGGGGAAACGAUAUUGGAAGCUUGCUUCUGAUAGGCGUCGACCGGCGCACGGGUGAGUAACGCGUAUCCCAACCUGCCCAUCACUUGGGGAUAACCUUGUGAAAGUAAGACUAAUACCCAAUGACGUCUCUAGAAGACAUCUGAAAGAGAUUAAAGAUUUAUCGGUGAUGGAUGGGGAUGCGUCUGAUUAGCUUGUUGGCGGGGUAACGGCCCACCAAGGCGACGAUCAGUAGGGGUUCUGAGAGGAAGGUCCCCCACAUUGGAACUGAGACACGGUCCAAACUCCUGCGGGAGGCAGCAGUGAGGAAUAUUGGUCAAUGGGCGAGAGCCUGAACCAGCCAAGUAGCGUGAAGGAUGACUGCCCUAUGGGUUGUAAACUUCUUUUAUAAAGGAAUAAAGUCGGGUAUGGAUACCCGUUUGCAUGUACUUUAUGAAUAAGGAUCGGCUAACUCCGUG